rnacentral:rRNA from 1 species
GACGAACGCUGGCGGCGUGCUUAACACAUGCAAGUCGAACGAAGAGCGAUGGAAGCUUGCUUCUAUCAAUCUUAGUGGCGAACGGGUGGGUAACGCGUAAUCAACCUGCCCUUCAGAGGGGGACAACAGUUGGAAACGACUGCUAAUACCGCAUACGAUCUACCUCGGCAUCGAGGAUAGAUGAAAGGUGGCCUCUACAUGUAAGCUAUCACUGAAGGAGGGGAUUGCGUCUGAUUAGCUAGUUGGAGGGGUAACGGCCCACCAAGGCGAUGAUCAGUAGCCGGUCUGAGAGGAUGAACGGCCACAUUGGGACUGAGACACGGCCCAGACUCCUACGGGAGGCAGCAGUGGGGAAUCUUCCGCAAUGGACGAAAGUCUGACGGAGCAACGCCGCGUGAGUGAUGACGGCCUUCGGGUUGUAAAGCUCUGUUAAUCGGGACGAAAGGCCUUCUUGCGAAUAGUUAGAAGGAUUGACGGUACCGGAAUAGAAAGCCACGGCUAACUACGUG